rnacentral:rRNA from 1 species
CCUACGGGCGGCAGCAGUGGGGAAUAUUCCGCAAUGGGCGAAAGCCUGACGCAGCGACGCCGCGUGCGGGAUGAAGGUCUUCGGAUCGUAAACCUCUGUCAGCAGGGAAGAACGGUCACUGUACUAAUCAGCAGUGAAUUGACGGUACCUGCAAAGGAAGCACCGGCUAACUCCGUGCCAGCAUCCGCGGUAAUACGUAGGUUGCGAGCGUUAAUCGGAAUUACUGGGCGUAAAGCGCUCGUAGGCGGUAUGUCAAGUCAAGGGGGAAAUCCCCGCGCUCAACUUGGGAACUGCCUUUGAUACUGGCAAACUAGAGGGUGUGAGAGGAUAGUGGAAUUCCAGGUGUAGGAGUGAAAUCCGUAGAUAUAUGGAGGAACAUCAGUGGCGAAGGCGACUAUCUGGCACAUAACUGACGCUGAGGAGCGAAAGCGUGGGGAGCAAACAGGAUUAGAUACCCGAGUAGUC